rnacentral:rRNA from 1 species
AAUGAUAUUGCCUCAGUACGGCGAGUGAAGCGGCAAUAGCUCAAAUUUGAAAGCUGGCGCCUUCGGCGUCCGCGUUGUAAUUUGUAGAGGAUGCUUCGGCAAGGACUCCUGCCUAAGUCCCCUGGAACGGGGCGUCACAGAGGGUGAGAAUCCCGUAUGUGGUGGGCGGUCCAAGCCAUGUGAAGCUUCUUCGACGAGUCGAGUUGUUUGGGAAUGCAGCUCUAAAUGGGAGGUAAAUUUCUUCUAAAGCUAAAUAUUGGCCAGAGACCGAUAGCGCACAAGUAGAGUACUCGAAAGAUGAAAAGCACUUUGGAAAGAGAGUUAAAAAGUACGUGAAAUUGUUGAAAGGGAAGCGCUUGCAACCAGACUCGCUCGCAGUUGCUCAUCCGGCCUCUUGGCCGGUGUACUCUUCUGCGAUCGGGCCAGCAUCAGUUCGGGCGGCUGGAUAAAGGCUUCGGGAAUGUAGCACCCUUCGGGGUGUGUUAUAGCCCGUUGCGGAAUGCGGCCAGCCUGGACUGAGGAUCUCGCUCGGCAAGGAUGCUGCGAAACCCC